CUGAGAUGUUGACCCGAGCGCUGCUCUGUGGAGACAGAGGUCAUUAGGUCACUUAACGGUCAACUGUGAGGGAACGGUUGGACAUUUUGGAUUUCCAGAGACACACAGUGGCUACAAGCAGACUGUAAAGCACAGCACACCCAUGGGUAGGAAAGUCAAGUGACAUGAGAUAAAGGAGUCACUCCAGUGAGUCAUGCUCCUGCUGUAGCUGUAAGGCCUGGGGACGGACUGACAGGAUGAGGCUCAUACAGCUGGGGAAGCAACAAAGGCCAAAACUGGCUAGCUGACUGGAUGAAUGGAUGGAUGACUACCGUGGGUGAGUGGCUUAUCCAGCGGCUCUGCGGGGCUGCAUUGUCCCAUGACCUCACUAUGCCUCUGUUUAUCCUUCUGCCUCAUAAAGCACAACAUAAAACUUUAGCAGCCGGUGAAAGAAUCAAAUGUGCCGCCACAGUGUCAGCCUAAUUACUUUUUAAUACAAAGAGUUAACCAAGCGGCAUUAGUUUGGCUGCACCCUUGAGAUUUAUAAACAGGGUAUGGAUCAGCAGACAGAGAAAAAGGAAGUUGUUUUAGGCAGGAAAAGAAAAAGAAAAGGAUUUAGAGAGAGAAGCUAGAGGGGAGGGUAGUGAAUGAUGGAGAGAGAGGAUUUAAAUUGAAAAGGUGCCGUUAUUGCCCAAAAGGCAGUUCGGACAAUGUACCUGUUCUGUAUGCUUUUCAGACUCAAAGCUCCCCAAACAGACUUUAUUAUUAGCUUACUCCCACAGCUUUAUUAUUAAUACACACAUCUGCCAGAAAGCCUGACCAGUUUUAGAGGGCCUACUGAGAUUGAAUUAUGUUUUCUCUCGAGAUGAACCUGCUGG